UGGGGGAAUUUUUGGACAAUGGGCGAAAGCCUGAUCCAGCAAUGCCGCGUGUGUGAAGAAGGCCUUCGGGUUGUAAAGCACUUUUGUCCGGAAAGAAAUCCUCUGGGUUAAUACCUCGGGGGGAUGACGGUACCGGAAGAAUAAGCACCGGCUAACUACGUGCCAGCAGCCGCGGUAAUACGUAGGGUGCAAGCGUUAAUCGGAAUUACUGGGCGUAAAGCGUGCGCAGGCGGUUUUGUAAGACGGAUGUGAAAUCCCCGGGCUUAACCUGGGAACUGCAUUCGUGACUGCAAGGCUAGAGUAUGGCAGAGGGGGGUAGAAUUCCACGUGUAGCAGUGGAUGCGUAGAGAUGUGGAGGAAUACCGAUGGCGAAGGCAGCCCCCUGGGCCAAUACUGACGCUCAUGCACGAAAGCGUGGGGAGCAAACAGGAUUAGAUACCCUGGUAGUCCACGCCCUAAAACGAUGUCAACUAGUUGUUGGGGAUUCAUUUCCUUAGUAACGUAGCUAACGCGUGAAGUUGACCGCCU
rnacentral:rRNA from 1 species